UUCCCGUUCGUCGGUGUCCAACUGGCACGCCAGUGCGGACGUCCUGCCGGUGGACGCAAUCGGCCGCGGCGUAGGGCCGCCGCACUGCGCCCCCUGCUCCACUUCCGGUGCGCUCAGGGCUCCACCCCCGCGAGGGAGUGCCCCAGGGCCCCGGUGGGGAGGUCGGUCCGGGCACCGCACGCUGUCAGGCUCCCAACCCGCGCGUCGGUGGUCCGGUGCAAUCCCGCCGCGGUGCUCUUCACCGAGUGUCGAGGCGGGCCGGCACGUUUACUUUGAACAAAUUAGAGUGCUCAAAGCAGGCAGUGGUUGGCCUGGAUGCUGUGUGCAUGGAAUAAUGGAAUAGGACCUCGGUUCUAUUUUGUUGGUUUUCGGAACCCCCGAGAUAAUGAUUAAUAGGGACAGACGGGGGCAUUUGUAUUGCGAUGUUAGAGGUGAAAUUCUUGGAUCGUCGCAAGACGGACGAAAGCGAAAGCAUUUGCCAUGAGUGUUUUCGUUAGUCAAGAACGAAAGUCAGAGGUUCGAAGGCGAUCAGAUAUCGCCCUAGUUCUGACCGUAAACUAUGCCAGCCGGCGAUCCGCCGAUGUUCCUCCGAUGACUCGGCGGGCAGCUUCCGGGAAACCAGAGCUUCUGGGUUCCGGGGGAAGUACGGUAGCAAAGCUGAAACUUAAAGGAAUUGACGGAAGGGCACCACCAGGAGUGGAGCCUACGGCUUAAUUUUACUCAACACGGGAAACCUCACCAGGCCCGGACACCGGAAGGAUUGACAGAUUGGGAGCUCUUUCUUGAUUCGGUGGCUGGUGGUGCAUGGCCGUUAUUAGUUGUUGGAGCGAUUUGUCUGGUUAAUUCCGAUAACGAACGAGACUCCGGCCUGCUAACUAGUCGCACUAGCGGCAUCCCUCCGUGCUGCCGGCGACGGAUGCUCUUCUUAGAGGGACAGGCGGCUCCUAGCCGCACGAGAUCGAGCAAUAACAGGUCUGUGAUGCCCUUAGAUGUUCUGGGCCGCACGCGCGCUACACUGAAGGAAUCAGCGUGUCCUCCUGGCCCGAGAGGGCCGGGUAACCCGUUGAAACUCCUUCGUGCUGGGGAUUGGGGCUUGCAAUUGUUCCCCAUGAACGAGGAAUUCCCAGUAAGCGCGAGUCACGAGCUCGCGUUGAUUACGUCCCUGCCCUUUGUACACACCGCCCGUCGCUACUACCGAUUGAAUGAUUUAGUGAGGUCUUCGGACCGGCGCGCGGCGGCCCCACCUUCCUCCGCUUCCGGCGCCCCGCCCGCCCUCGCAGGCGGCUCCGGGGACCCACGCCGGGCGGGGUCGGAGGCCUGCCGAUGCCGCUGGGAAGAUGACCGAACUUGAUCAUUUAGAGGAAGUAAAAGUCGUAACAAGGUUUCCGUAGGUGAA
rnacentral:rRNA from 1 species